GGCCUGAGCUGACAGGCAGAGGUGGAGAGGGUCAGUCCCCAUCGACAGAAGCAAAGAGAUCGUCCUGGGGCAGUUUGCACGCUGAUGGCCCAAGGUCCGCGACCCAGGUUCGCUUGAGUCUCUAUCAGAGGGCAAGCCAGGCGUGCUUUAUGGACAAUGCGCUCCUCAGGCCUUGACCGCGUACUUCCCCAGCGGGUACAGCCGCUCCUUCCGCUGCUGCUUCUUGGUCUUCGGGUUCUCCUCAUGCUUGUUGAGCCGGCGGCGCAUGGCGCGUGUCUUCUUAGGCCGCAGGUCCAGGGGCUUGUAGUUCCUGCCCUUGUAGAAUUUCCUGAGGUUUUCUUUCUGAGUCUAGUUAAUAACAGUGAGAACACAGGCAAUGGAUUUGCGGACGACUCGGAUCUUAGAGAGCUUGGAGGCCGCACCGCCUGUCACUUUGGCGACGCGCAGCUGGGACAGCUCCACCUUCAGGUCGUCCAGCUGUUUCAGCAGCUCCUCCUUCUUCCCGCGAAGAUCUCGAGCCUUGAUCUUGGCCAUUGCUGCACAGGCCGCCGACGCCGCCGCGCCGCCCGCUCCGAGGGAAAGAGCGUAGAUUCAAAUAUAAACUUACCUAAUGAUACGGCAAGUACAUGCCCAGAAAAAAAUGAAAAUAUAUGUCUUCAA
rnacentral:lncRNA from 1 species